GCCAAGACUAAUUUUCAUUCCAAAAAUAAUGAAAGAAAAUUCAAAAUAAACCAAGUAUAAAUAAACCAAGCAUAAUGUUGUCAACUAAUAAUAGAGUUCAAAGGACAAAGGUAUCAUUAAAAGACACGUAUAAACAAAAACUACACGAGUCAUUAUAGGUGAUUAGGGAGAAGGAAAUAUCUGACUUGUAUACUCAAUCAUUGUAGAAAGGUAUGGGACUCUGCGUGUAGAACCCUCAACUAG
rnacentral:misc_RNA from 1 species